rnacentral:rRNA from 1 species
CGUAGGGUGCGAGCGUUGUCCGGAAUUAUUGGGCGUAAAGGGCUCGUAGGCGGUUUGUCGCGUCGGGAGUGAAAACACCGGGCUUAACUCGGUGCUUGCUUUCGAUACGGGCAGACUAGAGGCAUGCAGGGGAGGACGGAAUUCCUGGUGUAGCGGUGAAAUGCGCAGAUAUCAGGAGGAACACCGGUGGCGAAGGCGGUUCUCUGGGCAUGUCCUGACGCUGAGGAGCGAAAGUGUGGGGAGCGAACAGGAUUAGAUACCCUGGUAGUCCACACCGUAAACGCUGGGCGCUAGGUGUGGGGCCUAUUCCAUGGGUUCCGUGCCGCAGCUAACGCAUUAAGCGCCCCGCCUGGGGAGUACGGCCGCAAGGCUA